UCGCGGCCGCAGAGUUUGAUCAUGGCUCAGAUUGAACGCUGGCGGCGUGCUUAACACAUGCAAGUCGAACGAGAAAGGGAGUGCUUGCAUUCCCGAGUAGAGUGGCGCACGGGUGAGUAACACGUGGAUAAUCUACCUUUGAAUCCGGGAUAACUGUUCGAAAGAAUCGCUAAUACCGAAUGAAGUCAAUGUUUCCUAGGAGAUAUUGAUGAAAGACAGCCUCUUCUUGAAAGCUGUUGUUUGAAGAUGAGUCCGCGCACCAUUAGCUUGUUGGUGGGGUAAAGGCCUACCAAGGCUCUGAUGGUUAGCUGGUCUGAGAGGAUGAUCAGCCACACUGGAACUGACACACGGUCCAGACUCCUACGGGAGGCAGCAGUGAGGAAUUUUGCGCAAUGGGGGCAACCCUGACGCAGCAACGCCGCGUGAGUGAAGAAGGCCCUUGGGUCGUAAAACUCUGUCAAUGGGGAAGAAGUUAUUAUACUUUAAUAGAGUAUAGUAUUGACGGUACCCAUGAAGGAAGCACCGGCUUACUCCGUGCCAGCAG
rnacentral:rRNA from 1 species